AGGGUCGUGCACACCUCGGUGCUCUCGCACAUAAAAUCCAUCUCACCCCUUUUGUGCAUCACCGCGUGAGGACCCCUUUCGGCUAGUUCUGAGGGGGGUUUUCACGUUUUUACACAGACACAUGCAAUGCGUAGAAUGUCUUACUUUUUUGCGAUCACACGCAAUCAAUACAACUUUCAACAACGGAUCUCUUGGCUCUCGCAUCGAUGAAGAACGCAGCGAAAUGCGAUACGUAAUGUGAAUUGCAGAAUUCAGUGAAUCAUCGAAUCUUUGAACGCACCUUGCGCCCUUUGGUAUUCCGAGGGGCACACCCGUUUGAGUGUCGUGACAUUCUCAAAACCUUUCUUGGUUUCUUGACCAAGGAAGGCUUUGGACUUUGGAGGCUUUUGCUGGCAUUCCUUUGUUGGAGCCAGCUCCUCUGAAAUGAAUUAGUGGGGUCUGCUUUGCCGAUCCUUGACGUGAUAAGAUGUUUUCUACGCCUUGGGUUUUAGCACUCCUGCUUCUAACCGUCUCAUAGUAG
rnacentral:rRNA from 1 species